rnacentral:lncRNA from 1 species
CAAGGUCAACCCAACCCAAGGUCAACCAAGGUCAACCCAAGGUCAGCCAAGGUCAACCAAACCCAACUCAACGUCAACCAAGGUCAACCCAAUCCAAGUCAAGUCAAACUCAACCAAACCCAACCCAAGAUCAACCCAAGUCAAGGUCAACCAAGGUCAACCAAACCCAUCCCAACCCAAGUUCAAAGUCAACCAAAUCCAAGUCAAAGUCAACUCAACCCAACCCAAGGUCAACCAAACCCAACCGAACUAAAGUAAACUCAAAGUCAACUCAACCCAACCAAAAGUCAACCAAGGUCAACCCAACCCAACUCAAAGUCAACCCAACCCAACCUAAGGUCAACCAAGGUCAACCCAAUCCAAGUCAAGGUCAACCAAACCCAACCCAAGAUCAACCCAAGUCAAGGUCAACCCAACCCUUGGUCAACCCAACCAAUGGUCAGCAAGGCCAAACCAACCCAACGACCAACGCGAGUCAAGACCGGACAAUCGAUGGUCAACGUCAAGACCAACCCAACGGUCAUCUCAAGACCAACCCAAUGGUCAGCUCAAGAUCAAGACCACCCCAGUGGUCAGCCCAAUUAACCGUUCACGAAAUCAAGACCAACCCAACGGUCAUCUCCAUCCAU